rnacentral:tRNA from 1 species
GCCGGGGUAGCCUAGCCAGGUAAGGCGCAGGUCUGGAGAACCUGUGGAGCUUUGCUCCUCAUGGGUUCAAAUCCCAUCCCCGGCG